rnacentral:rRNA from 1 species
AAAGGUAGCAUAAUCAUUAGGGAUUUAAUAGGAACCUGGUAUGAAUGGUUGGACAAAAGAAAAGCUGUUUCUAUAAUAAAUGUUGAAAUUUACUUUUGAGUGAAAAGGCUUAGAUAAAUCAAAAAGACGAUAAGACCCUAUAAAUCUUUAUAAAUAAUUUAAAUAAAAUUGAUUUAUGUUAAAUAAAAAUUAAAUUUAAUUAUUUUAUUUUGUUGGGGUGAUGUGAGCAUAAUUAGUGUAACUGCUUAAAUUGUAUACUUUAAUCUAAGAAUAAAUGUGUGAUGAUCCUUUAUAAAGAUAUAAAACUAAGUUACUUUAGGGAUAACAGCGUCAUUUCUUUUGAGAGUUCAUAUCGAAAAAGGAGAUUGCGACCUCGAUGUUGAAUUAAAAUAUCUAUAUAGCGCAGCCACUAUAAAAGAAGGUCUGUUCGACCUUUAAAUU